CAACAUGUGACAACAUGUGAAGAGGGACAAAGUAAUGACAGGAGAGUAGUGUGCAUUAGACAUGCUCAAGAACAAAUAUAGAGACAUUCAAGGAGAGAGAGAACACAGAUUCAACGGCCGCCAUGUUUUGUCCUUUCUGUGGCCAGCAUCUGGGGACAGUUCAAGUGUUCUGUGGCUCCUGUGGCAAACAUGUACAGUUUUUGGCAGAAGUUGAACACAACAGCAUUCCAUAAGGAGGGUCAGGAACUCACGCUUGGGACCACCAUUGUCCCCUCCAUCCUCAGUGUGUCCCUCAUCAUCAGUGAACUUAACUGACAUCUCAUGAGAGGGAUCGAAUGAGGCACCUUUGAAGCCGCGGAUUGCUCCAUCGCACACACUGGCUCUAUUAAUAUUGAACCUGCUGCAAGAUGUAUUUGUUAUUUUUGCAGAGAGUUCUGCAACAAUGUGUGCCGCAGUCAGGUAUUCUGUGCUGGGAAAGACAAAGUGAUGUAUUGUAAUAUUAAAUGAUGAAGCUAGUAAUAAGAUUUACAGAAUAGAAUAGAAAAAUUAAGUGGUAAUAGUAACAAUUAAUACCUUUGCUCCAUUGUGUCUUCUGGCUCAGACUGGCUAUCAAUAAUGAUAAGUGCAUACACAGUUGUGUAGUUGCUGCAGUGAGAAGACAGUUGAAUAAUUACUUUCAAAUACCUAAUAUAUGCAUGACAGUCAUAUUUACAAAAGGAUGUCGAUCCUCUUCCUGUUUUUUCAAUACAUUGGGUUCUAAACUGACAACAGCACUUUUGUCAUACUCCUGCACAAUCCUUGUAAACAUUUGAAAUGGAUGCAACAAAAAAUAUCUGAUCUUUGAAAAAUA